GAUUACUGGGAGCAAGAGGGAUCUUUGUUUGCAGCAAAUGUGCUUCUCCUACUGAAGUUGGUGGGUUUUGGUGUUUAAAAAAACCAAAGGAGAAAGACUGUUGAAAAGCCACAAUGUUUCAUCAACUUUGAGAUGCAACUGGUUAUUAAGCUAACCUUCUGGAAUUAUCAUUGAGACAAGUACAAAAGAAGAUCUAGUCAAUGAUGAGAGAUUUUCAAUAAACUGCUUCUAUGAUGAAGAACCAGAUGGUUUGAGUUAUUCCAUGCACCUUCAGAGUUGAUUGAGGCCUUUUUCAAGUUUGGGCAGACAU